UCCCUGGUGGCUCAGAGGGUAAAGCAUCUGCCUGCAAUGUGGGAGACCCGGGUUCGAUCCCUGGGUUGGGAA
rnacentral:tRNA from 1 species